rnacentral:rRNA from 1 species
UUGACCUCGGAUCAGGUAGGGAUACCCGCUGAACUUAAGCAUAUCAAUAAGCGGAGGAAAAGAAACCAACAGGGAUUGCCCUAGUAACGGCGAGUGAAGCGGCAACAGCUCAAAUUUGAAAUCUGGGGCAAGCCCGAGUUGUAAUUUGCAGAGGAUGCUUCUAGGCAGCGGCCGGUCUAAGUUCCUUGGAACAGGACGUCAUAGAGGGUGAGAAUCCCGUAUGUGACCGGCUGGCACCUUACACGUAGCUCCUUCGACGAGUCGAGUUGUUUGGGAAUGCAGCUCUAAAUGGGAGGUAAAUUUCUUCUAAAGCUAAAUACCGGCCAGAGACCGAUAGCGCACAAGUAGAGUGAUCGAAAGAUGAAAAGCACUUUGGAAAGAGAGUUAAAAAGCACGUGAAAUUGUUAAAAGGGAAGCGCUUGCAACCAGACUUGUCGGCGGUGUUCCGCCGGUCUUCUGACCGGUUCACUCGUCGUCGACAGGCCAACAUCAUCUGGGGCCGCCGGAUAAAGGCGGGAGGAAUGUAGGUUCCCUCGGGAACCAUUAUAGCCUCCCGCACAAUACGGCGAGCCUCGGGUGAGGUCCGCGCUUCGGCAAGGAUGUUGGCGUAAUGGUCGUAAGCGGCCCGUCUUGAAACACGGACCAAGGAGUCGAUUAUCUAUGCGAGUGUUCGGGCGUCAAACCCCUACGCGUAAUGAAAGUGAACGGAGGUGGGAACCCUUUACGGGGUGCACCAUCGACCGAUCCGGAUGUCUUCGGAUGGAUUUGAGUAAGAGCAUAGCUAAUCGGACCCGAAAGAUGGUGAACUAUGCCUGAAUAGGGUGAAGCCAGAGGAAACUCUGGUGGAGGCUCGCAGCGGUUCUGACGUGCAAAUCGAUCGUCAAAUUUGGGUAUAGGGGCGAAAGACUAAUCGAACCAUUAACUACUAGGUGGUUAAGAGGCUAUUCAAAAUAGCACUAGUUCUGCUGUCAAAGCAGAGCUACAUUGCCAAAUUGCGGGGACCCCCAGAUCUACCGGUUCUACCGUUGGUCGCGGCCGAAAGGCCGGUCCAACACCUAGCUCGCGACGGCUAGGGUAAGGUCAUAACGACCCGGUAGUGGGCUACCACGCAGCCAACUCCUACGCCAGACUUCGCGGUCUAGCAGGGACGCAGUUCACUGACUAUACGGCGAUGGGCGCCUCUCCGCGAGGUCGUUUAAGAUAUAGUCGACAGCUCGGUAAUGCGAGCGAAUGGAAUCCAGUUAGCUAGUAGCUGGUUCCUGCCGAAGUUUCCCUCAGGAUAGCAGUAACGUUUUCAGUUUUAUGAGGUAAAGCGAAUGAUUAGAGGCCUUGGGGUUGAAACAACCUUAACCUAUUCUCAAACUUUAAAUAUGUAAGAAGUCCUUGUUACUUAGUUGAACGUGGACAUUCGAAUGUACCGUUACUAGUGGGCCAUUUUUGGUAAGCAGAACUGGCGAUGCGGGAUGAACCGAACGCGGAGUUAAGGUGCCGGAAUGCACGCUCAUCAGACACCACAAAAGGUGUUAGUUCAUCUAGACAGCAGGACGGUGGCCAUGGAAGUCGGAACCCGCUAAGGAGUGUGUAACAACUCACCUGCCGAAUGAACUAGCCCUGAAAAUGGAUGGCGCUUAAGCGUGCUACCCAUACUCCGCCGCCAGCGUAGAAUCGACGCGCUGGCGAGUAGGCAGGC